AUUGAACGCUGGCGGCAGGCUUAACACAUUCAAGUCGAGCGGAGCGGCGGACGGGUGAGUAAUGCUUAGGAAUCUGCCUAUUAGUGGGUGACAACAUAUCGAAAGGGAUGCUAAUACCGCAUACUAAUACAUGAGCAUAAGUCGGUGUAGCUAGUUGGUGGGGUAAAGGCCUACCAAGGCGACGAUCUGUAGCGGGUCUGAGAGGAUGAUCCGCCACAACGUGACGUAUACACGGCCCAGACUCCUACGGUAGGCAGCAGUGGGGAUUAUUGGCCAAUGGGGGGAACCCUGAUCCAGCCAUGCGGCGUGUGUGAAGAAGGCCUUAUGGUUGUAAAGCACUUUAAGCGAGGGGGCGUUACUCGCAGAAUAAGCACCGGCUAACUCUGUGCCAGCAGCCGCGGUAAUAC
rnacentral:rRNA from 1 species